GCUCAAGUGGGGUAGUGGUAACCUGGAUCGUUGCCAUUGAGCAAUACUCGAUCCGCCAGGAGUUCGAUUCUCCUCUUGAGCA